rnacentral:ncRNA from 1 species
AUUGAAAUAAAUAAAUUUAAAUAAUUAAUAUUUAUUUAAUAAAAAAGUUUAUAAUAAGAAUUUUAUUAAAUUUAUAAAAGUAAGAUAAAGUAAAUUAAUUAAUUAUAAAUAAAAUUAGUGCCAGCAAUUGCGGUUAAACUAAUUAUUAGAGUAAAUUUAUAUAUAAGAUAAAUAAUAAGAUAUUAUUAUUAAAAGGGAUUAAAUUAAGUAAAAUAAGAAUUUAUUAAUUUUUGGUGAAAUAUAAAAAAUAAAUAUAUAUUUAAGAUUUAGAUGAAUAAUAAAAUAAAAAAACUAUGAAUUAAACUAGGAUUAGAUACCCUAAUAUUUUAGGUUAAAUAAAUGUCUUAAGUAUUAAAUGUAAAUCAUUAAAUAUAUAUAAUUUGGCGGUAUUUUUUAUUUAGAGGAACUUGUUUAGUAAUUGAUAAUCCACGAGUAGAAGAACCUAGGUUAGAUAUUUUUAUGUAUUGUUGUUUAAAAUUUAUCAUAAGAGUGUUUAAUAUUUAAGAUUUUAGGAUAAUAAGAUAAUUCAAAUCAAAAUGUAGAAUAGUUAGGUUAAAAUGAGUUACAAUUAAGAUGUAGUUAUUGGAUUUAAUUAUAUAUAAAAUUAAUGAAAGAGGAUUUAAUAGUAAAUUUAUUAUAAAUAAAUUGAAAUAUAAAUAAAAAUGUGUACAAAUUGCCCGUCAUUUUCGUUAAAAAAUGGAAAAAGUCGUAACAUAGUAAAUGUACUGGAAAGUGUAUUUAGAUAUAU